rnacentral:sRNA from 1 species
UUUUAAGAAGAUAUUAAAAUGAUUUACAAAGGUUUUUAAAAUCCUUGUAAAUCUUUUAAACCAUUUUACAAGGAUUUACAAGCUUCUUCUUGCUUCUCAAAGCUUUUA